AGCAGCCGCGGUAAUUCCAGCUCCAAUAGCGUAUAUUAAAGUUGCUGCAGUUAAAAGCUCGUAGUUGAAUUUCGGGAUCAAUAUGUUGGUCGUGCCUCGGUACGUACUAGCUUAUUGGUUUCUCCCUUCUGACGAACCAUGAUGUCAUUUAUUUGGUGUUAUGGGAAAUCAGGACUGUUACUUUGAAAAAUUAGAGUGUUUAAAGCAGGCUCACGCUUGAAUACAUUAGCAUGGAAUAAUGAAAUAGGACGUUUGAUUCUAUUUUGUUGGUUUCUAGGAUCGACGUAAUGAUUAAUAGGGAUAGUUGGGGGCAUUAGUAUUCAAUUGUCAGAGGUGAAAUUCUUGGAUUUAUUGAAGACUAACUACUGCGAAAGCAUUUGCCAAGGAUGUUUUCAUUAAUCAAGAACGAAAGUUAGGGAUCGAAGACGAUCAGAUACCGUCGUAGUCUUAACCAUAAACUAUGCCGACUAGGGAUCGGAUGAUGUUAAUUUUUAAUGACUCAUUCGGCGCCUUAAC
rnacentral:misc_RNA from 1 species